rnacentral:rRNA from 1 species
AUUGAACGCUGGCGGCAGGCCUAACACAUGCAAGUCGAGCGGAUGAGGGAAGCUUGCUUCCCGAUUUAGCGGCGGACGGGUGAGUAAUGCCUAGGAAUCUGCCUAUUAGUGGGGGAUAACGUUCCGAAAGGAACGCUAAUACCGCAUACGUCCUACGGGAGAAAGUGGGGGAUCUUCGGACCUCACGCUAAUAGAUGAGCCUAGGUCGGAUUAGCUAGUUGGUGGGGUAACGGCUCACCAAGGCGACGAUCCGUAGCUGGUCUGAGAGGAUGAUCAGCAACACUGGAACUGAGACACGGUCCAGACUCCUACGGGAGGCAGCAGUGGGGAAUAUUGGACAAUGGGCGAAAGCCUGAUCCAGCCAUGCCGCGUGUGUGAAGAAGGUCUUCGGAUUGUAAAGCACUUUAAGUUGGGAGGAAGAGUUGUAAGCUAAUAUCUUGCAGCUUUGACGUUACCAACAGAAUAAGCACCGGCUAACUCUGUGCCAGCAGCCGCCGUAAAAC